GUGUGCUCGCUUCACACAUAUACUAAACUUGGCAUGAUACAGAGAAGAUGAGCCUGGCUCCUGUGCAAGGAUGGCAUGCAAAUUUGUGAAGCAUUUCAUGUUUGU